rnacentral:rRNA from 1 species
AAGAGAGAGACAUGCGCGCAUAUCAAUAAGCGGAGGAAAAGAAACUAACAAGGAUUCCCUUAGUAACGGCGAGUGAAGCGGGAAGAGCUCAAAUUUGAAAUCUUCAAGGGUUUACCUUUACGAAUUGUAGUUUAAAGAAGUGUUUUCUGUUGAGGUUUCGGUAAAAGUUCUUUGGAAUAGGACAUCAUAGAGGGUGAGAAUCCCGUAUUUGACCUUUAUUUUCAACUUUGUGAUACACUUUCAGAGAGUCGGAUUGUUUGGGAAUGCAGUCCAAAAUGGGUGGUAAAUUUCAUCUAAAGCUAAAUAUUGGCGAGAGACCGAUAGCGAACAAGUACCGUGAGGGAAAGAUGAAAAGAACUUUGAAAAGAGAGUUAAACAGUACGAUGAAAUUGUCAAAAGGGAAGCGUUUGACACCAGUGUUGUUUUUCUGAAAAUCAAUUAAAGAACUGUUUAUGCUAAGUUGUUUAGACUUUAUCAGCUAACUGUUUAGUUUUGAGCUUUUCUUUAAUGCACUUUUCAGUUAACAAGUCAACAUCAAUUUCUUUUGCUGUAAAAAAGCUUGAGGAAGGUGGCUUGAGAUUCGUCUUAAGUGUUUAUAGCCUCUUGCCUAUGCAGUCGGAGAGAUUGAGGUCUGCAGCGUAGAUCCUUCGGGGCUAAAUGCAUCUGUGCUAAGUUAUAGCAUUUUAUAGACAACUUGUUGACUAUGAUUUGUCUUGUAGCUUACUCGCUUAUGUUAUUUUACCUACGCUUAGGAUGUUGAGCGCAUGUCUCUCUCU